rnacentral:lncRNA from 1 species
UGGCAAAACAAAUCCCCAAAGAAAAAAAAAGUUGAAAAGCUGAUUCAUCUUAAAAAUAUUUCAGAUGACUUAAAAUAUUUAAGGUUCAUUUUGGACUUUUUGACAAGUAAAGACCCAAAUAUGAGCAAAUUAAACCAUUAAGGCUCUUUCAGUAUGGAAUGACAAAAAGUGAAAAAGGCCUUUUAGGAAGGAUCUCCAGGAAUCCUGUGGGGAGAGGCUGGUGCUGGGGGAAGACAGAGGAAUGCCUGGAGAGGACAGAAGUGAGACUACACCUGUUGGUCUGGAUUGCAGCUGGAAUUGGAAGGGAAAUGCAUUUCCAUUGAAGGAAGAAGUGUAACAGUGAGCAGGCAGGUGUCAGCGGAUCUCAAGAGAAUAAUGUCAACUGGACAAUGGCUUAGAGGCAGGAGGAGGCAGAUCAGCUAGGCAGAUGUGCAGAAGUUAAGUGUGGUUUCAUGCAGAAACUUCCAAAUGGAUUCAAGAGCCAAAGCCUUCAAGAAGUUGGUGUCAUUGUCACUUGGAAUAUGUUUGUAUUAAUACAGGUAGAAUAUGUUAAUAAACCAUAUUCUUAUCAA